GUGAGGAAUAUUGGUCAAUGGACGCAAGUCUGAACCAGCCAUGCCGCGUGCAGGAUGACGGCUCUAUGAGUUGUAAACUGCUUUUGUACGAGGGUAAACGCAGAUACGUGUAUCUGUCUGAAAGUAUCGUACGAAUAAGGAUCGGCUAACUCCGUGCCAGCAGCCGCGGUAAUACGGAGGAUUCAAGCGUUAUCCGGAUUUAUUGGGUUUAAAGGGUGCGUAGGCGGUUUAGUAAGUCAGCGGUGAAAUUUUGGUGCUUAACACCAAACGUGCCGUUGAUACUGCUGGGCUAGAGAGUAGUUGCGGUAGGCGGAAUGUAUGGUGUAGCGGUGAAAUGCUUAGAGAUCAUACAGAACACCGAUUGCGAAGGCAGCUUACCAAACUAUAUCUGACGUUGAGGCACGAAAGCGUGGGGAGCAAACAGGAUUAGAAACCCUAGUAGUCC
rnacentral:rRNA from 1 species